rnacentral:rRNA from 1 species
CAGUCGCCACGGUAAUACGAGGGGGGCAAGCGUUGUUCGGAAUUAUUGGGCGUAAAGGGCGCGUAGGCGGUUUGACAAGUCUGAUGUGAAAUCUCUGGGCUCAACCCAGAGUCUGCAUCAGAAACUGUCGAGCUUGAGUAUGGGAGAGGUGAGUGGAAUUUCCGGUGUAGCGGUGAAAUGCGUAGAUAUCGGAAGGAACACCUGUGGCGAAAGCGGCUCACUGGACCAUUACUGACGCUGAGGCGCGAAAGCUAGGGGAGCAAACAGGAUUAGAGACCCCAGUAGUCCCUGUCUCUUAUAC